AACGUACCCCGGAGUGGGGGAUAACGCCGCGAAAGCGGCGCUAAUACCGCAUAUGCUCUGAGGAGGAAAGUGGGGGCUUCGCAAGAACCUCACGCUCUGGGAGCGGCCGAUGUCCGAUUAGCUUGUUGGUGGGGUAAUGGCUCACCAAGGCGACGAUCGGUAGCUGGUCUGAGAGGAUGAUCAGCCACACUGGGACUGAGACACGGCCCAGACUCCUACGGGAGGCAGCAGUGGGGAAUUUUGGACAAUGGGGGCAACCCUGAUCCAGCCAUGCCGCGUGCGG
rnacentral:rRNA from 1 species